CCAAUAGCGUAUAUUAAAGUUGUUGCAGUUAAAAAGCUCGUAGUUGAAUUUCGGGAUCAAUAUGCCAGUCAUGCCUUGGUAUGCACUGGUAUCUUUGAUUUCUCCCUUCUGACGAACUUUGAUGUCAUUAAUUUGGUGUCAUAGGGAAUCAGGACUGUUACUUUGAAAAAAUUAGAGUGUUUAAAGCAGGCUCACGCUUG
rnacentral:rRNA from 1 species